AGUUACGUGUAUAGAACAUCAGGUAAUAUUAAGAGGUUCGAUCAUGGCUCAGAUUGAACACGCUGGCGGGUCUUUACAUACGAAGUCGAACCUGGCAGCGGACUUCGGUCUGGUGGCGGAGGUGGCAGACGGUCGAUAAUGUAUCCGGAACGUACCUAGUAGCGGGGGAUAACUACGCGGCGCGCUAAUACCGCAUACGCCCUUCGGGGGGAAAGCAGGGGACCUUCGGGCCUCGCACUAUUAAGAGCGGCGAUAUCGGAUUAGCCGUUGGUGAAAUUAACGGCUCACCAGAGCGACGAUCCGUCUUCGUUUGAGAAGGACGACCAGCCACACUGGGACUGAGACGGCCCAGACUCCUACAGGGAGGCAGCAGUGGGGAAUUUUGGAUAAUGGGGAAACCCUGAUCAGCCAUCCCCGCGUGUGCGAUGAAGGCCUUCGGGUUGUAAAGCACUUUUGGCGGAAAACGGCACGGGAUAAUACCCCGUGCAACUGACAAAACACCUGCAGAAUAGCACCGGCUAACUACGUGCCAGCAAUAACGGUAAUACACGUAGGGUGCAAACGUUGUCGAUUGCUGGGCGUAAAGCGUGCGCGGGCGGUUCGGAAGAAAGAUGUAAAUCGAACCUUUGGAACUGCAUUUUUAACUACCGAAACUGGGUGUGUCGGAGGUGGAAUUCCGUGUAGCAGUGAAAUGCGUAGAUAUGCGGAGGAACCUGAUAGCGAAGGCAGCCUCCUGGGAUACUGGCGCUCAUGCACAGCGUAUGGGAGCAAACAGGAUUAGAUACCCUGGUAGUCCACGCCUAAACGAUGUCAACUAGCUGUUGGGGCCUUCGGGCCUUGUGGCUACAACUAACGCGUGAAGUUGACCGCCUGGGAGAGUACGGUCGCGAAUUAAACUCAAAGGAAUUGACGGGGACGCACAAGCGGUGGAUGAUGGAUUAAUUCGAUGCAACGCGAAAAAGAGAAACCUUACCUACCCUUGACAUGUCUGGAAUCCGAAGAGAUUUGGGAGUGCUCGCAAGAGAACCGGAACACAGGUGCUGCUGGCUGUCGUCAGCUCGUGUCGUGAAUGUUAGGUUAAGUCUGGCGACCUGACCCGCCGUGGUGGUUGCUGAAAGGGCACUCCUAAUGGGGCUACCGGUGACAAACCGGAGGAAGGUGGGGAUGACGUCAAGUCCCUCGCGGCCCUUGGUGAGGCUUCACACGUCAUACAAUGGUCGGGACAAGAGGGUCGCCAACCCGCGAGGAGCCAAUCCCAGAAACCCGAUCGUAGUCCGGAUCGCAGUCUACAACUCGACUGCGUGAAGUCGGAAUCGCUAGUAAUCGCGGAUCAGCCGUCGCGGUGAAUACGUUCCCGGGUCUUGUACACACCGCCCGUCACACCAUGGGAGUGGGUUUUACCAGAAGUAGUUAGCCUAACCGUAAGGAGGCGAUUACCACCAUUAGGAUUCGCUUGACUGGGGUGAAGAAUCAACAAAGGUA
rnacentral:rRNA from 1 species